CGGGGACGAUCAUCGCCGUGGCAACGCACGCCAUCCUGUCCGCGGACGCUCCCAGGAUCCUCCAGGAGUCAGUCAUUAGUCAGAGAGGAGAGGAGGAUGUGAAGUUAAAGAACAUGGGUUCUUGGCCCAGCGUUCUCAGUCCACCCCCGCCUCCGCUGUCCGCUCCUCUAGCGACAGCUUCGAACAGGUCCGUCGCGUCGCCCGAGAGAAGGAGAGAGAGAAACAGCUAAAAGCACAGGCCAGGAGAGAGCAGGAGAAACUACGUAGCCGUGACUACGAGGACUCUGUGGAGCAGCAGGGGAGGGGGCGUGUCCAGGAGGACACUCGCCGUCGCCAGGAGCAACUUUCGCCUCAACCCCUCCCGCCGACUCCCCACAGGCCCCUCCCACUCAACAGGCCACACCCUCGGCCGCAGCAGAACGCCAUGGACCAGCAGAGGGAGCUGGCGAGACGCCGCGAGCAGGAAAGGAGGAGGAGAGAGGUGGUAAUACUUUAUAGCAGUAAUACUACUAUAAUACUAACAUGUUAUACUAGUAUAGCAGGAGAGAGGUGGUAAUACUUUAUAGCAGUAAUACUACUAUAAUACUAACAUGUUAUACUAGUAUAGCAGGAGAGAGGCGGUAAUACUUUAUAGCAGUAAUACUACUAUAAUACUAACAUGUUAUACUAGUAUAGCAGGAGAGAGGCGGUAAUACUUUAUAGCAGUAAUACUACUAUAAUACUAACAUGUUAUACUAGUAUAGCAGGAGAGAGGUGGUAAUACUUUAUAGCAGUAAUACUACUAUAAUACUAACAUGUUAUACUAGUAUAGUAGGAGAGAGGUGGUAAUACUUUAUAGCAGUAAUACUACUAUAAUACUAACAUGUUAUACUAGUAUAGUAGGAGAGAGGCGGUAAUACUACUAUAAUACUAACAUGUUAUACUAGUAUAGCAGGAGCGAGGCGGUAAUACUUUAUAGCAGUAAUACUACUAUAAUACUAACAUAAAAUACUAGUUUAGCAGGAGAGAGGCGGUAAUACUUUAUAGCAGUAAUACUACUAUAAUACUAACAUGUUAUACUAGUAUAGUAGGAGAGAGGCGGUAAUACUUUAUAGCAGUGAUACUACUAUAAUACUAACAUGUUAUACUAGUAUAGCAGGAGAGAGGCGGUAAUACUGUAUAGCAGUAAUACUACUAUAAUACUAACAUAAUAUACUUUUCUAGCAGAAGAGAGGUGGUAAUACUUUAUAGCAGUUAUACUACUAUAAUACUAACAUAAUAUACUUUUCUAGCAGAAGAGAGGUGGUAAUACUUUAUAGCAGUUAUACUACUAUAAUACUAACAUGUUAUACUAGUAUAGCAGGAGAGAUGAGGAGAGAAUCAUCAUAAAGAUACGUAUUAAUAUAUGUAUAUUCUUGUUAUAUUAUGUAUAUUCAGUUAUAUUACAAUAAUACAGAGGAGAGGUAGUUUAGCUGAGAAGAGAUGGGAAAGAUUAACACUGCAUCUAAUUCCUCUCUCUCUCUCGCUCUGUCUCUCAUCCCCCUCUCUCUACAGAUGGCGGACACCAUUGACAUCAACUUCCAGAGCGACUUGAUGGCCAUCUUUGAAGAGAACCUUUUCUGAGAGAGAGAUUGAGAAAGGAGGAGAGGGAGAGAAAGAGAUAUGAACUCUACCUUAUCCCACCAUGGCUGGGAUUUCACACACAACACCCUCCCUCCCUCUGAUUAGAGACCCCAGACCAGGAUGUGAGCUCCAGAGACUUGAAGGAGACUGAGGUGAGGUACAGUAAUAAGGAGAUGCCCUCCCUCCCUCUGAUUAGAGACCCCAGACCAGGAUGUGAGCUCCAGAGACUUGAAGGAGACUGAGGUGAGGUACAGUAAUAAGGAGA
rnacentral:lncRNA from 1 species